GGUGAUGUUUUGGUGAUUAUGGAUCUGCGACCAGAUGAAUCAUUGUAUGAGGCUGGUGUUGCUCGUGAGUUAGUUAAUAGAAUCCAGAAGUUGCGGAAAAAGGUUGCCCUUGAACCUACAGAUCUGGUAGAUGUUUAUUUUGAAUCUUUGGAUGAAGAUAAGUCAAAGUUAGAACGAGUUCUGAAUUCACAGGAACAAUAUAUUAGGGAUGCAAUUGGAUCUCCAUUACUUUCCUCUAUUUUGAUGCCACCACAAGCAGUCAUAAUUGGGGAGGAGAGUUACCAUCAGAUUUAUGAAUUAUCUUUCACUAUUUACUUGGCUAGAGCUGCUUUAGUGUUCAAAUCAGAUGCUAUCCUCGCAUUAUAUGCUGGAAAUACAAAAUUUGCACAAGGUCUGGAGACUUACCUGUUAUCUAGGGAUCAUUCUAAUUUGAGAUCAGAAUUUCAACUCAACAAUGGCAAGAUAACAGUUGAUGGCAUUGAAAAGCAGCCUUCUGUCAAUGUGGUAUUGGGAGAACAUUUAUUUUUGAGUGUUGGCGACUACUUCUUGAGAACAAAAAGUGGGUAAACUAAUUCCUAUGAUAGAUUUUUCCCCUUUUUGGGGGUUGACUUUAGUGAUAAUUUACCUGUGGUAAGAAUGCAAAUUGAAACUGAUUGCAUAGUAGUAGGUGCAGAAGGUAUAGUUAUUUGUUUUUUGUACAGAUACAGGUAAUUAUUAUUCAUUAUGAUCAAUUUUGUGUAGAAAACCAGUGCCAGAUUAUAUAUUUGAAGUGUUUUACAUAGUUUUUUUUUUUU
rnacentral:misc_RNA from 1 species